ACGUAUCUUCAGGGCAGGGUUUGAUUCCCUACUGGCGGUUAUAGCCCGCGAGCUUUUAUUUAAGCAGAUUCGGUUAAAUUCCGAAGCCAACAGUAUAGUCUGGAUGAAAGAAGAAAGUA
rnacentral:ncRNA from 2 species